CCUACGGGAGGCAGCAGUGAGGAAUAUUGGUCAAUGGACGCAAGUCUGAACCAACCAUGCCGCGUGCAGGAAGACGGCUCUAUGAGUUGUAACCUGCUUUUGUACGAGGGUAAACGCAGAUACGCGUAUCUGUCUGAAAGUAUCGUACGAAUAAGGAUCGGCUAACUCCGUGCCAGCAGCCGCGGUAAUACGGAGGAUUCAAGCGUUAUCCGGAUUUAUUGGGUUUAAAGGGUGCGUAGGCGGUCGGAUAAGUUAGAGGUGAAAUCCCGAGGCUCAACUUCGGAAUUGCCUCUGAUACUGUUCGGCUAGAGAGUAGUUGUGGUAGGCGGAAUGUAUGGUGUAGCGGUGAAAUGCUUAGAGAUCAUACAGAACACCGAUUGCGAAGGCAGCUUACCAAGCUACUUCUGACGUUGAGGCACGAAAGCGUGGGGAGCAAACAGGAUUAGAUACCCGUGUAGUC
rnacentral:rRNA from 1 species